rnacentral:rRNA from 1 species
AUUGAACGCUGGCGGCAUGCCUUACACAUGCAAGUCGAACGGUAACGGGCCUUCGGGUGCCGACGAGUGGCGAACGGGUGAGUAAUGUAUCGGAACGUACCUUUCAGUGGGGGACAACGUAGCGAAAGUUACGCUAAUACCGCAUUUUCUGUGUGCAGGAAAGCAGGGGAUCGCAAGACCUUGCGCUGAUUGAGCGGCCGAUAUCAGAUUAGCUAGUUGGUGAGGUAAAGGCUCACCAAGGCGACGAUCUGUAGCGGGUCUGAGAGGAUGAUCCGCCACACUGGAACUGAGGCACGGUCCAGACUCCUACGGGAGGCAGCAGUGGGGAAUUUUGGACAAUGGGGGCAACCCUGAUCCAGCCAUGCCGCGUGAGUGAAGAAGGCCUUCGGGUUGUAAAGCUCUUUCGGCCGGGAAGAAAUCGUAUCAGCUAAUACCUGAUGCGGAUGACGGUACCGGCAUAAGAAGCACCGGCUAACUACGUGCCAGCAGCCGCCGUAACAC